UAGGGAAUCUUCGGCAAUGGACGGAAGUCUGACCGAGCAACGCCGCGUGAGUGAAGAGGGUUUUCGGAUCGUAAAGCUCUGUUGUAAGAGAAGAACGAGUGUGAGAGUGGAAAGUUCACACUGUGACGGUAUCUUACCAGAAAGGGACGGCUAACUACGUGCCAGCAGCCGCGGUAAUACGUAGGUCCCGAGCGUUGUCCGGAUUUAUUGGGCGUAAAGCGAGCGCAGGCGGUUAGAUAAGUCUGAAGUUAAAGGCUGUGGCUUAACCAUAGUAGGCUUUGGAAACUGUUUAACUUGAGUGCAAGAGGGGAGAGUGGAAUUCCAUGUGUAGCGGUGAAAUGCGUAGAUAUAUGGAGGAACACCGGUGGCGAAAGCGGCUCUCUGGCUUGUAACUGACGCUGAGGCUCGAAAGCGUGGGGAGCAAACAGGAUUAGAUACCCUGGUAGUCCACGCUGUAAACGAUGAGUGCUAGGUGUUAGACCCUUUCCGGGGUUUAGUGCCGUAGCUAACGCAUUAAGCACUCCGCCUGGGGAGUACGACCGCAAGGUU
rnacentral:rRNA from 1 species